AGGGUUUGAUCCUGGCUCAGAUUGAACGCUGGCGGCAGGCCUAACACAUGCAAGUCGAACGGUAACAGAGAGAAGCUUGCUUCUUUGCUGACGAGUGGCGGACGGGUGAGUAAUACUUAGGAACAUGCCUUUGCGUGGGGGAUAACUAUUGGAAACGAUAGCUAAUACCGCAUAAUGUCUACGGACCAAAGGGGGCUUCGGCUCUCGCGCAGAGAGUGGCCUAAGCGAGAUUAGCUUGUUGGUGAGGUAAAGGCUCACCAAGGCGACGAUCUCUAGCUGUUCUGAGAGGAAGAUCAGCCACACUGGGACUGAGACACGGCCCAGACUCCUACGGGAGGCAGCAGUGGGGAAUAUUGCACAAUGGGGGCAACCCUGAUGCAGCCAUGCCGCGUGUGUGAAGAAGGCCUUCGGGUUGUAAAGCACUUUCAGUUGUGAGGAAAGGGUAACGGUUAAUACCCGUUAUCUGUGACGUUAGCAACAGAAGAAGGACCGGCUAACUCCGUGCCAGCAGCCGCGGUAAUACGGAGGGUCCGAGCGUUAAUCGGAAUUACCGGGCGUAAAGCGCACGCAGGCGGUUUGUUAAGUUAGAUGUGAAAGCCCCGGGCUUAACCUGGGAAUAGCAUUUAAAACUGGCAGGCUAGAGUCUUGGAGAGGGGAGUGGAAUUCCAGGUGUAGCGGUGAAAUGCGUAGAUAUCUGGAGGAACAUCAGUGGCGAAGGCGACUCCCUGGCCAAAGACUGACGCUCAUGUGCGAAAGUGUGGGUAGCGAACAGGAUUAGAUACCCUGGUAGUCCACACCGUAAACG
rnacentral:rRNA from 1 species